rnacentral:rRNA from 1 species
AACGAACGCUGGCGGCAUGCCUAACACAUGCAAGUCGAACGAGACCUCCGGGCUUAUGGGGGCUGGGGGGGUUACCGCGGGGUAACUAGCCCUUGGGUUCGGAAUACUUCCCCUAAGGGGAUCUUAAGACCGGUUAGGCUCUUCGGGCAAAGGAUUUACCGCUUUUGGAUGGGCCCGGGUUGGUUUCGCCGGUUGGUAGUGUAAAAGCAUGGCAAGGGGACGAUGCAUGGCUGGUCUGUUAGCAUGCCCCGCCACACUGGGAAUGAGACACGGCCCAGAGUCCUACGGGACGCAGCAGUGGGGAAUAUUGGACGAUGGGCGAAAGCCUGAUCCAGCAAUGCCGCGUGAGUGAUGAAGGCCUUAGGGUUGUAAAGCUCUUUUACCCGGGAUGAUAAUGACAGUACCGGGAGAAUAAGCUCCGGCUAACUCCGUG